GUCUACGGCCAUGCCACCCUGAAUGUGCCCGAUCUUCUCUGAUCUCGGAAGCUAAGCGGAGUCAGGCCUGGUUAGUACAUGGAUGGGAGACCACCUAGGAAGACCAGGUGCUGUAGGUG
rnacentral:rRNA from 1 species